rnacentral:rRNA from 1 species
AACGGGUGAGUAACACGUGGGUAACCUGCCCAUCAGAAGGGGAUAACACUUGGAAACAGGUGCUAAUACCGUAUAACAAUCGAAACCGCAUGGUUUUGAUUUGAAAGGCGCUUUCGGGUGUCGCUGAUGGAUGGACCCGCGGUGCAUUAGCUAGUUGGUGAGGUAACGGCUCACCAAGGCGACGAUGCAUAGCCGACCUGAGAGGGUGAUCGGCCACAUUGGGACUGAGACACGGCCCAAACUCCUACGGGAGGCAGCAGUAGGGAAUCUUCGGCAAUGGACGAAAGUCUGACCGAGCAACGCCGCGUGAGUGAAGAAGGUUUUCGGAUCGUAAAACUCUGUUGUUAGAGAAGAACAAGGAUGAGAGUAACUGUUCAUCCCUUGACGGUAUCUAACCAGAAAGCCACGGCUAACUACGUGCCAGCAGCCGCGGUAAUACGUAGGUGGCAAGCGUUGUCCGGAUUUAUUGGGCGUAAAGCGAGCGCAGGCGUUUCUUAAGUCUGAUGUGAAAGCCCCCGGCUCAACCGGGGAGGGUCAUUGGAAACUGGGAGACUUGAGUGCAGAAGAGGAGAGUGGAAUUCCAUGUGUAGCGGUGAAAUGCGUAGAUAUAUGGAGGAACACCAGUGGCGAAGGCGGCUCUCUGGUCUGUAACUGACGCUGAGGCUCGAAAGCGUGGGGAGCAAACAGGAUUAGAUACCCUGGUAGUCCACGCCGUAAACGAUGAGUGCUAAGUGUUGGAGGGUUUCCGCCCUUCAGUGCUGCAGCUAACGCAUUAAGCACUCCGCCUGGGGAGUACGACCGCAAGGUUGAAACUCA